AGAGUUUGAUCCUGGCUCAGGAUGAACGCUAGCUACAGGCUUAACACAUGCAAGUCGAGGGGCAGCAUGAACUUAGCUUGCUAAGUUUGAUGGCGACCGGCGCACGGGUGAGUAACACGUAUCCAACCUGCCGAUGACUCGGGGAUAGCCUUUCGAAAGAAAGAUUAAUACCCGAUGGCAUAGUUCUUCCGCAUGGUAGAACUAUUAAAGAAUUUCGGUCAUCGAUGGGGAUGCGUUCCAUUAGGUUGUUGGCGGGGUAACGGCCCACCAAGCCUUCGAUGGAUAGGGGUUCUGAGAGGAAGGUCCCCCACAUUGGAACUGAGACACGGUCCAAACUCCUACGGGAGGCAGCAGUGAGGAAUAUUGGUCAAUGGGCGAUGGCCUGAACCAGCCAAGUAGCGUGAAGGAUGACUGCCCUAUGGGUUGUAAACUUCUUUUAUAAAGGAAUAAAGUCGGGUAUGCAUACCCGUUUGCAUGUACUUUAUGAAUAAGGAUCGGCUAACUCCGUGCCAGCAGCCGCGGUAAUACGGAGGAUCCGAGCGUUAUCCGGAUUUAUUGGGUUUAAAGGGAGCGUAGAUGGGUUGUUAAGUCAGUUGUGAAAGUUUGCGGCUCAACCGUAAAAUUGCAAUUGAUACUGGCAGUCUUGAGUACAGUUGAGGUAGGCGGAAUUCGUGGUGUAGCGGUGAAAUGCUUAGAUAUCACGAAGAACUCCGAUUGCGAAGGCAGCUUACUGGAUUGUAACUGACGCUGAUGCUCGAAAGUGUGGGUAUCAAACAGGAUUAGAUACCCUGGUAGUCCACACAGUAAACGAUGAAUACUCGCUGUUUGCGAUAUACAGUAAGCGGCCAAGCGAAAGCGUUAAGUAUUCCACCUGGGGAGUACGCCGGCAACGGUGAAACUCAAAGGAAUUGACGGGGGCCCGCACAAGCGGAGGAACAUGUGGUUUAA
rnacentral:rRNA from 1 species